CUAAAGUCAGCUCUUUAAUUCACACUUCAUAAAUCAUAAAGUGAUGUUUAUUAGUGGAGAUUAUUUUACUGAACAAAACAUGUCAGUGUCAUAAACGUGUGUUUGCCACAGAGAUUAUUUUCUGUAAUAAUCUAAAACCAAAUGGAACAAUCCCAUUGGGUGUUAGUGGAGGGAA